AUUGAACGCUGGCGGCAGGCCUAACACAUGCAAGUCGAGCGGAGCGGCGGACGGGUGAGUAAUGCCUAGUAAUCUGCCUGGUAGUGGUGGAUAACGUCCGGAAACGGGCGCUAAUACCACAUACUAUCAGAUGAGCCUAGGUCGGAUUAGCUAGUUGGUGGGGUAAAGGCCUACCAAGGCGACGAUCCGUAACUGGUCUGAGAGGAUGAUCAGUCACACUGGAACUGAGACACGGUCCAGACUACUACGGGAGGCAGCAUUGGGGAAUAUUGGACAAUGGGCGAAAGCCUGAUCCAGCCAUGCCGCGUGUGUGAAGAAGGUCUUCGGAUUGUAAAGCACUUUAAGGUGGGAGGCGUUAACAACAGAAUAAGGACCGGCUAACUUCGUGCCAGCAGCCGCGGUAAUUC
rnacentral:rRNA from 1 species